rnacentral:lncRNA from 1 species
CUCCUCCAAUGGAAGUUGAUGUCAAAUCCCCUCCUCGAAGGUGACAAUCUACUCAUGCAGAUUUGCUUCUCCGGGUAUUUCACUUAACCCCUACAAAUAUUUCAUGGAAUCCAUGAGUUCUUUUCUGUACUGAUUGAGCCAGUUGCAGGUAAAAACAUUGUGCGAUGAGGCAAAUGAGAUAUUAGGGAGGAAGCUAAUGUUCAGGUAUGGUAGAUUGUUCUCAUAAUUUUGCAAUGGCGUCUGUUAAUAGGUAAUAAGGUGUUACAAAAUAUAAUGGUAUGCUCUAUUCAGUUGUAGACUUGUAGUAACAUCAUGCCAGUAUACUCUUAGGCGUGUUCUGCAUUGUUCACUUUGCUCAAAAUUUUGUAAUGGAAUCAUUUUGUUUUGUUAAUAGUGUGGAAUGAACCAACUAGAAAAAGUUAGGAAUAAUGCCUUCAUGAUCAUUUUUCGGUGCUGCGUACAUGAAAU